AUUGAACGCUGGCGGCAGGCCUAACACAUGCAAGUCGAGCGGAUGAAGGGAGCUUGCUCCUGGAUUCAGCGGCGGACGGGUGAGUAAUGCCUAGGAAUCUGCCUGGUAGUGGGGGAUAACGUCCGGAAACGGGCGCUAAUACCGCAUACGUCCUGAGGGAGAAAGUGGGGGAUCUUCGGACCUCACGCUAUCAGAUGAGCCUAGGUCGGAUUAGCUAGUUGGUGGGGUAAAGGCCUACCAAGGCGACGUUCCGUAACUGGUCUGAGAGGAUGAUCAGUCACACUGGAACUGAGACACGGUCCAGACUCCUACGGGAGGCAGCAGUGGGGAAUAUUGGACAAUGGGCGAAAGCCUGAUCCAGCCAUGCCGCGUGUGUGAAGAAGGUCCUCGGAUUGUAAAGCACUUUAAGUUGGGAGGAAGGGCAGUAAGUUAAUACCUUGCUGUUUUGACGUUACCAACAGAAUAAGCACCGGCUAACUUCGUG
rnacentral:rRNA from 1 species